rfam:Oryza nivara chromosome 3, whole genome shotgun sequence.
CUAAAAUACAGUUUCGUACUAUUCACGUUCAACAUUUGACCGUUCAUCUUAUUUGAAACUUUUUUAUGAUUAGUAUUUUUAUUGCUAUUAGAUGAUAAAACAUGAAUAAUACUUUAUGUGUGACUAAAUAUUUUCAAAUUUUUCACAAAAUUUUUAAAUAAAACAGAUGUACGGUCAAAACGUUAGAGACGGAUAUCUACUGCUGUACUUAUU